ACCAGGCUUCGCCGUAGUGUGGCCACAUCAUAUGUGUAUAAACGAAUGAAAAAUUAAUUAGAGUGACUCGUUCAUAUACUUUCACGUUCUAUCGCUCAAAAAUUCGGGUGUUCUACUGUUAUUUUCUUCGGAAACCAAAUGGACAGUAACAAAGACGAGGCGGAUCGAUGUCUGGAAUUUGCGGUGCAGUUCAUUCUUGAUGGACAAUGUGACAAGGCCGAGAAAUUCCUCCAAAAGGCUCAAAAGCUUUUUCCAACCAAAAGAGCUGAGGAUCUUUUAUCUAAGUUAGCGAUGAAGACAAAGCAAAAUCCAAAGUCAGAGGGAGAACCAGAGCUCAGAAAACGUCAUUCUAUUUCUAAGGAUGGAAGCCAGACACAGCAAAGUAGCAAUGAUUUUACCAAGGACCAAAUUGAAGCCGUUAAAAAGAUCAAGAAGUGUAAAGACUAUUAUGAAAUUCUUGGUGUGAGUAAGGAUGCAACCGAUGGUGAUAUUAAGAAGGCAUAUAAGAAAUUGGCACUCCAGUUACACCCUGACAAAAACAAGGCUCCAGGAGCUGCAGAAGCUUUUAAAGCAAUCGGCAAUGCCGUCGCAGUACUCAUUGAUCCUGAAAAACGAAAACAAUAUGAUCUUUAUGGCUCUGAGGAAGAAAGAGUACAGAACGCCCACAACCGUCAGACUCAUUCUCAUUAUAACUACACCCGAGGCUUUGAAGCCGAUAUCACUGCCGAAGAACUCUUCAACAUGUUUUUUGGCGGUGGGUUUCCACAGCAAAAUGUCUAUGUUCGAAGAGGUGGUGGACGAUGGGCUCGUCAGGCAGAUGCUCAGACACAGCAUGCUCAUGCACAGCAAACAAAUGGAUACACAGCAUUUGUUCAAAUGUUACCUAUAUUGCUGUUGAUCGUACUUUCAAUGAUGAGCAGUUUCUUGAUAUCUGAUCCAGUAUACAGUUUGCAUUCAAAUGCUAAAUACUCUAUUCAGCGAACUACACAAGGAAUGAAAGUUCCUUAUUACGUGAAAGAGAAUUUUCACAGCGAAUAUCAAGGCAGCCUACGUAGAUUAGAAAUAUCUGUUGAAGAGGAAUUUGUGAAUAAUCUUAGACAAGCGUGCUACAGAGAAAAAAAUUAUAGAGAAACAAUGAUAUGGAAAGCUCAAAACUUUGCAGACAGAGAUUUACUAUGGCGGGCACAAAACAUCGAGACACCGUCAUGCAGAAAACUACAAGAGAUGCAAAGCGCAUAGUAGUAAUGAUACUUCUGAAUUGAUUAUUUAUUCUCUGUAGAUACAUCUAUUUCGCAUUUGAUGCAAGAAAUGAAGUCAGUGUCGACGUCACCAAAGUUGCUCGGUUUUAAAGAUACAUGCUUUGUAGAAGUUUAUAAAUUGACACUGGUAUCCCACGUGGAUGUUGAGUCAGGGAUAAUUGUUAAUGUCCUUGUACGAAAUAUCACCCGACUAUUAUUUAUAAUUUUCUGUUAGCGUUUUCUCUUGCCUGGAAUAAAUCAGAAUAUAGACUGUCUUCGGUCUUUUCAUCCAAAGGAUUCUGAGAAGCUCCUUAACGUGUUACCACUCCACUAUCCUGUUCUCAAGAGACAAUUUUCAUGAAAUACUAGUUCAAAUCUGGUUCGAUUGUAAAGAGGCAGAGGGAGAGGAGAUGGCACCCUGGGUAAUGAUAAACCAAUUGUACGAGUAAGUCCUAUAAGUGCAGACGUUGAAACUCCGAUGAUAGAUGAAUAGGUAAUAAGAAGAAAGCAUGUAAAAGUC
rnacentral:misc_RNA from 1 species